ACAAUGUUACAUUCUUUAGAAAUAACAUGUUGUGAUAGUUGUCUUAUUCUCCUGCUUUUAAUACCGAGAAUAAGUCCAUUGUUGCACCAUGUUAUUUCCCCUUCAUCGUGUCGUCCCU
rnacentral:precursor_RNA from 14 species